CCGGGCGGGCAGGCGGGCGGGCAGGCUCCGUGGACAAACACCGGAGAGUGCUUUCACUUCAUACACGAGACUUCAAAUGUGUGUUUACAGACUCACAGGUGUGGCCGAUCCCUCCCAGUAGAUGGUGGCGAUGUGAAUCCGAAGUCGUGUUCAACCUCCUCCGUGUCUCCCGCAGGACCCACAGCAAGUGCCCCAGAAAGCCAGGCCGAUGCUAUCUCUCGCCAGCUGGCCUCUAGCUGUCUGGACUUGGGAGGUGGGAACAUUCUGAUCAUUUUUGAGCGAAUCCUUCCCUAGUCACACUGUUGCUAGCUGCCAUCCCAAAUGUAAGGACUGGAUGGAUGUGGGAUUCCUGCUAUCAGAGCUUGUUAUCAGAACUUUCUCUGCCUGAGCUCAGGAACCAAAAAGGUUGAGACGCAGGGGAUAGGGGGUUUCCGGAUGCACAUGGCGCCCGUGACAGGGCCAGCACAUGCUGUCCUGAGACUCCACGGCGGCCACUCUGUCCCGACUGCGGCCCAGAAGCAAAUCAACACACUGUUAUCACUGCUUCAAGGGCAGUGCCCACACAGAAUACGCACAGAUUUUGACUUGAACUCUGGAUCUGGGAUUUAAUUCUCUAUGCAGCACUUUUCUCACCUGCAAAAUUACAAAAAUUGUAUCUAUUUUUUAAGGUUCUUCUACAGAAUAAAAAUAAUAUAUGUGGAGUGACUGGUA